AUGAGACACCAUAAGGAUGCCAUUGCUAGGACAGGGAUCAAGAUUUUCUUCUUUCUUGUUUGCCGUGGUACCAUUGGUCCAGUUUGGACAUCCCAUCACUCCUACUGCUAUCUUUCCGUUCACCACAAGAGCCAAACCGACCUUAAGACAAAACAAGAAUAG
rnacentral:rRNA from 1 species